AACGAACGCUGGCGGCAUGCCUAACACAUGCAAGUCGAACGAGACCUUCGGGCUUAGUGGCGCAUGGGUGCGUAACGCGUGGGAACCUGCCUAUAGGUUCGGAAUAACUCCCGGAAAGGGGUGCUAAUACCGGAUAAAGUCUUCGGACCAAAGAUUGAUCGCCUUUGGAUGGGCGCGCGACGGAUUAGCUUGUUGGUAGGGUAAAAGCCUACAAAGGGGAGGAUCCAUAGAUGGUUAGAGAGGAUGGUCAGCGACACUGGGACUAAGCAACGGCCGAGAAUACUGCGGGAGGGAGCAGUGGGGAAUAUUGGACAAUGGGCGGAGGCCUGAACCAGCAAGGCCGCGUGAGUGAUGAAGGCCUUAGGGUUGUAAAGCUCUUUUACCCGGGAUGAUAAUGACGGUACCGGGAGAAUAAGCACCGGCUAACUCCGUG
rnacentral:rRNA from 1 species